GAUUAUGUCACUCAGACGAGAUGGCUGCACAUGUGCAAAGACACAGAGGAGCUGGUAAGGGAUUACAGCACCCAGAGACGGCCAAAUGAGGAGGAGACGUGUGGAAAGCUUUACUGUCCUGUUUGUUCUCUGAUCUUCUCUGCACUGUGCAAAAGGGAUAUCUCCCCUCAUCCUCUAAAAAGAGAUAUCUCUGAGGAAGCAAAUGUAGUAAUACAAGCCUAGGAUUUGGCCCUGCAACGUCAACACCGAUGCGCCUCUGACGAUGUUUAGACCCUGGUGAACCAGACCCUGGUGAACCAACAGCCAGACCCUGGGGAACCAGACCCUGGUGAACCAACAGCCAGACCCUGGUGAACAGACCCUGGUUAACCAGACCCUGGUUAACCAGACCCUGUGAACAGACCCUGGUGAACCAACAGCCAGACCCUGGAACAGAAACCAGACCCUGGUGAUCGGACCCUGGUGAACAGACCCUGGUGAACAGACCCUGGUGAACCAGACCCUGGUGAACCAGACCCUGGUGAACAGACCCUGGUGAACCAACAGCCAGACCCUUGUGAACCAGACCCUGGUGAACGGACCCUGGUGAACCAACAGCCAGACCCUGGUGAACGGACCCUGGUGAACCAACAGCCAGACCCUGGUGAACAGACCCUGGUGAACAGACCCUGGUGAAACAGCAGCCAGAGCCUGGUGUUCAUCCUUCCAUGUCUGAGGACCAAUGGGGCCAGCCUGCAGUUAAGGCCGCCGCCCUGCCCUCAGGACCAAUCAGAUCAUAGCUGGUGGUGUGUGGGGAAACAAGAGGCAUUAACGGCACAUCACCACCGGCAGUCUCGGACCAAUCAGAUCACAGCUGGUGGUGUGUGGGGAAGCAGGUCAGGACCACCUGGGAAGAACCUGGAAUAUGGAAUAUGGAAUAUGAGGCAUUAACGGCACAUCACCACCGGCAGUCUCGCUCAGUGGCCUCUACUGGCCUGUGCGGAGCCAUGAGGUGCAUCCAAAAUGGUUCAUCAUCGUCUGCGUCAGCUUCAUCGUCUGCCCCAUCACUUGUCAAGUGGUCCGUUCUGCGAGACCACACUAAAUACUACGCACUGCAUCUUUAAGCUUAAAUUCCACAAGAAAGGAUAUCACAUCCAAUCCUCUCGAAACUCCUCUCUUCUCCAACAUCUGCGGGUCAAAGUCUCACAGUACGAUGGAUUGUUUUUAAAUUGGCAGAAGCAGUCGUGUACAGUAGCUGGUAUCACUCAGUCCUAAAGGAACCAUUCCCCAGAGGAACAGAGCGGGUGUUCCACACACAGCAGGGCUUUUGCAACUCACAUGGCUGACGAGAUGAACUGAAACGAAACCACGAUAUAGACAUGUAAAGCAUUGUUUGGUACACGAAGAAACACAUGAAGAAGAAUGCAGGAUACAGAAGAAACAAGUCAACAGACGCAUGUUUACGUUUGAAGUGUUGAGUGUGUGUUUUCUUUCGUUCUCGAGCCGUGGUUUAUUCAUUUAAUAGACACAAGUCGCUUAAUUUGAUUAUCGCUCAUCGUUUAUGGGGCCAAUUCGCUGUGAGUGGGGAGACCCACUCACAGCGAGCUCUGAACUAGCUGCAGUUAGAGCAAAAAGGGAAUUUUUAAAGGAAAUUUAUAUCCAUUACAACCUCAGAAGGCUUCGUAGACCCAGACCUUCUAGCAAACGAAACGAGAUAUAAAAUGUAUUGACCAACGGGCUCGUUGGUCAAUACAUUUUUUUCAACAGUUUUCCAUCAGUCUCCGGGUCAUCUCAGGACCAUUUGAUCUUUGCACCCUGAUCUGAUCACAUGUUAACAAACUCAAAGAAAAUAUGACCUGAUCCAAAAAUAAGAAACCAAUGAGGACAAUAAUAAUAAUACUAAAUCUGGCCUUAUCAGUUGUUAUCUUCUCAGGCUUAACACAUUUUCUCUGCUUGCCAAACCAUGCAGCUCUAUUUCUACAUUCACAAGCUGUUUGUACAUUCGCAGGCACCGGACAUCUGAACACCUACCUUCAACCCACACACACACACACACACACACACACACACACACACACACACACACACACACACACACACACACACACACACACACACACACAUUCACAUGCACAGACACACUCACCCUGCAAAACUUGGCUAUCGCUAAUAGCCUCGGCAAACAUAGAGGUGUGUGUGUGUGCAUGUGUGUGCACGUCUGUCUGUCUGGAAAGAGGAUAUUAUGGUCUGUCUCUCCCCCGCUCCUUCCAAGUGCACUUUUCAAGGUGCAGGGCUUGGUAUCACCAUGGCAACAGCGAAGCAACUGAGAACACAGUGGUGGGUGAUGGGUGUGUGUGUGUGUGUGUGUGUGUGUGUG
ensembl:lncRNA